CAUUCAAGUUUCUGACCUAUCAGCUUUAGACGGUAGGGUAUUGGCCUACCGUGGCUAUGACGGGUAACGGGGAAUUAGGGUUCGAUUCCGGAGAGGGAGCCUGAGAAACGGCUACCACAUCUAAGGAAGGCAGCAGGCGCGCAAAUUACCCAAUCCUAAUACAGGGAGGUAGUGACAAGAAAUAACAAUACAGAGCCUUACGGUUUUGUAAUUGGAAUGAGUUAAGUAUAAACCCCUUAACAAGUAUCAAUUGGAGGGCAAGUCUGGUGCCAGCAGCCGCGGUAAUUCCAGCCCCAAUAGCGUAUAUUAAAGUUGUUGCAGUUAAAAAGCUCGUAGUUAAUUUUCUGUUAAUUUUUAUAUACAAUGCUACGGUAUUUAUAUAAUAUUAACAUAAUUCAUAUUACUUUUUAGUAUAUGAAACUUUACUUUGAGAAAAUUAGAGUGCUUAAAGCAGGCUAUUGCCUUGAAUACUCCAGCAUGGAAUAAUAUUAAGGAUUUUUAUUCUUCUUAUUGGUUCUAGAAUAAAAAUAAUGAUUAAUAGGGACAGUUGGGGGCAUUUGUAUUUAACAGUCAGAGGUGAAAUUCUUAGAUUUGUUAAAGACAAACUACUGCGAAAGCAUUUGCCAAGGAUGUUUUCAUUAAUCAAGAACGAAAGUUAGGGGAUCGAAGACGAUCAGAUACCGUCGUA
rnacentral:rRNA from 1 species